UACGUAAGUGGCAAGCGUUGUCCGGAUUUACUGGGUGUAAAGGGCGUGUAGGCGGGAUAGCAAGUCAGAUGUGCAAUUCCGGGGCUUAACCCCGGCGCUGCAUCUGAAACUGUUAUUCUUGAGUGUCGGAGAGGAAAGUGGAAUUCCCAGUGUAGCGGUGAAAUGCGUAGAGAUUGGGAGGAACACCAGUGGCGAAGGCGGCUUUCUGGACGAUAACUGACGCUGAGGAGCGAAAGCGUGGGGAGCAGACAGG
rnacentral:rRNA from 1 species